rnacentral:sRNA from 1 species
GUGGGCAUGAUGGAGCAUGCCUAUAGUCCCAGCUACUUGGGACACUGAGGCAAGAGGUUUGCUUGAGCUCAGGAGACCAUGGCCAGUCUGGGCAACAGAGGGAGACCCUGGAUCAA